rnacentral:rRNA from 1 species
CAAGGAGCUGGUAUCAGGCACAUAAACUUGCCCACAACACCUUGCUUAGCCACACCCCCAAGGGAAAUUCAGCAGUGAUAAACAUUAAGCCAUAAGUGUAAACUUGACUUAGUUAAAGUUUUUAGGGCCGGUAAAACUCGUGCCAGCCACCGCGGUUAUACGAGAGGCUCAAAAUAAUAGAAAUCGGCGUAAAGGGUGGUUAAGUCUAAAAACACUAAAGUUGAACAUCUUCCCAGCUGUUAUACGCACACGAAGAUACGAAACCCAUUUACGAAAGUGACUUUACAAAACUGAACCCACGAAAGCUAUGGAACAAACUGGGAUUAGAUACCCCACUAUGCAUAGCCUUAAACCAAAGUAUUUUAAUUACAUUAUACUCGCCAGGGUACUACGAGCACCAGCUUAAAACCCAAAGGACUUGGCGGUGCUUUAAACCCAUCUAGAGGAGCCUGUUCUAUAACUGAUAACCCCCGUUAAACCUCACCCUAUUUUGCUUAAUCA